GACGUAGGGCGCGAGCGUUGUCCGGAUUUAUUGGGCGUAAAGAGCUCGUAGGCGGUUUGUCGCGUCGUUCGUGAAAACUCACAGCUCAACUGUGAGCUUGCGGUCGAUACGGGCAGGCUAGAGUUCGGUAGGGGAGACUGGAAUUCCUGGUGUAGCGGUGAAAUGCGCAGAUAUCAGGAGGAACACCGAUGGCGAAGGCAGAUCUCUGGGCCGUAACUGACGCUGAGGAGCGAAAGCAUGGGGAGCGAACAGG
rnacentral:rRNA from 1 species